UACGGGGGGAGCAAGCGUUGUUCGGAUUUACUGGGCGUAAAGGGCGCGUAGGCGGCGCAACAAGUCACUUGUGAAAUCUCCGGGCUUAACCCGGAGCGGCCAGGUGAUACUGUCGUGCUAGAGUGCGGAAGGGGCUACUGGAAUUCUCGGUGUAGCGGUGAAAUGCGUAGAUAUCGAGAGGAACACCUGCGGCGAAGGCGGGUAGCUGGGCCGACACUGACGCUGAGGCGCGAAAGCCAGGGGAGCGAACGGG
rnacentral:rRNA from 1 species